UGUAGUUCCAAAUGUCAGCUGACUACAAGUGACAAAUGGGAAUUUAGUGGAGGGGUACACGUUUAGCUAAUAGCUAGACUUCCAUGCAGCUAUCGUGGAGGACGUCCUGGCUUGCAAAUCCAACUAAUUCAGGAGAUAAAUGGACCAGGAUAAGAAGCAUGAAGAACAGGUGCCCACUAACUGUUGAUCAUUCUGUAGCUUGUCAACAGCUACCUAUCGAGGUGUGACACACAAAAAUGUCCAUAAAAGCAGGUAGCCUAACCACCAACCCUUCUAUAUAAGGUAUAGAGGCUGUGUAAGCUUGGUUUACACAAAAUGUAUGUACUGCUUUUGUUAUAAUUGUUGCUUUGGGAGAGAUCAGGAUGUCAGGCCAGACUUCAAUUUCUCUUACUACAGGUGAGUUUGUAAGGCAAAAAGGUGCAUUGUUUUGAAAUCUUUUUUACCUAUAACUGUAGAAUAUUUGAUUACGUGAAUAUUAGUGAGAAUGACAAGCAUGGCAAUCGGAGGAAGUUGUAUGUCUAUUGAGGUUUGGUGCAUCCCUGGGAUGGGAGACUACAUGUUGCUAUUAUUUAAGUAUUUUGCACACCGUGCUCUGAUUUGGAUCAGAUGUUAAAUGGGUGGCCAGACUGUUUGUGGUCACCAUAGGUCCCAUGGCACUUAUUGUAAGAGAAGGGGUGUUUACCUGUGUGAUGGCAACAUUUCAUUUCAUAACACCAUGACUACCUAACCAUACCCAGCUUCCAAAUGGCUAAUUUUCACUCCUUCUCCUGUAACUAUUUGUAAGGUUGAUGCUCUAAAUCUCAGGUAACGUACCUAGUAAAAUAAUAACAUCUCACCUACUUAUCCAAACAUCUUGAAUUCAUCUGUCUUAAUUGCUCUAUUUCUCUGAACUGUUUCUGUCCACCCCAUCAGUCACUAUGACUCUUAUCUCUUGUUUUUUCAGAGCUCUGACAUUGCAGACUACCAAAGGACAGACAAGGCCCAUUGCAACGAUUCUGGGACUGAUGUUAACAAAACAAGAUCUCUGCUCACAUCACCCUGUAAUUGGGGGGAACUGGAGAGUAGGUUAACUGCCUGGAGCCCUACACUCUGUCCCCAAUUCUGGCCAUCAGUGUUCUAAUCACGUUGUUCCACCAUGGGCCCUGACUGCUGAGAACACUUCUGGGCUAAACAUCAAAGACAUUUCCCACUUAUCCUUCUACUAAUACCAAACAUGCAUCUGUGUAUUCAAAUAUUCCAUAAUAUUACUUGGAUACUACAUACCAAAUAGUCUCCAAUAGUCCCCCCCCCCCCA